rnacentral:lncRNA from 1 species
GGUGACCCUCAUUCCACCAAAGGAGAGAUGGAGAGGUUGACAGAAGUCUGAGACUCACUGAGCUGCUCUUGUGGUUAGAGGGCUAAGGAGAGGAAGUCGGGACAAAGCUGCCUUUGUGCUCCCUGAAGAUGGAUCCUUGUCCUACAUCAUGAAACCAGCUACAGCUACCAAAACACUUUGUGGAGACCUGCUCAAAGACGGGAAGAAGAUGGGAUCAGCCUCUGGCUCAAUGCUCUAAGGGAACUUCCAGAAAUGAGACACACAGUAACUGGAUAAAAUACACUGGGAGCUAGUACAAGCAGAGAGGAAGGAAUCUGAAAACCAGUGCUGUCUGAUCAUGGUUUCCUCUGUACCUGAGUUUUCUGUAAAGAGACAGAUGCUGGUGGUGCCUAAAAUACAUCCACUUUAAACAUCUUUCCAAAAUGUGUCUCUAAGUAAAGACUUUCUCAUUUAUUCUUAUUUCAUCACAGCUACUCUGAAGCCUAGAUGAUCAUUUUCUCUACCUGCACCCCCCUGGCCAUGUCUGAUCAGGGCAGCCUCAGCUCAAUUUCCCACCUGAUGAAAAAUAAUAAACUCUCCCCUGAGCAACACUGUGUUCCCUGAAAUCACAGCACCCUCACCUUUGACACAUAGCUGUUGGUCAGCUUUUGGUCAUUGUGACAAAAUACCUGAGAUAAUCAACUUAUAGGGAGGAAAAUUUUGUUUUAGCUCUCAGUUUCAAAGGCCUCAGGCCAUGAUCAGUUGGCCCUGGGGACUUGGGGC